CAGUCGCCGCGGUAAUACGUAGGGUGCGAGCGUUAAUCGGAAUUACUGGGCGUAAAGCGUGCGCAGGCGGUUUUGUAAGACAGGCGUGAAAUCCCCGGGCUCAACCUGGGAAUGGCGCUUGUGACUGCAAAGCUAGAGUGCGGCAGAGGGGGAUGGAAUUCCGCGUGUAGCAGUGAAAUGCGUAGAUAUGCGGAGGAACACCGAUGGCGAAGGCAAUCCCCUGGGCCUGCACUGACGCUCGUGCACGAAAGCGUGGGGAGCAAACAGGAUUAGAUACCCCAGUAGUCCCUGUCUCUUAUAC
rnacentral:rRNA from 1 species